CCUACGGGGAGCAGCAGUGGGGAAUAUUGCGCAAUGGGCGAAAGCCUGACGCAGCGACGCCGCGUGAGGGAUGAAGGUCUUCGGAUCGUAAACCUCUGUCAGCAGGGAAGAACGGUCACUGUGCUAAUCAGCAGUGAAUUGACGGUACCUGCAAAGGAAGCACCGGCUAACUCCGUGCCAGCAGCCGCGGUAAUACGGAGGGUGCGGGCGUUAAUGGGAAUGACUGGGCGUAAAGCGCUCGUAGGCGGUAGGUCAAGUCAAGGGUGAAAUCCCCGCGCUCAACGAGGGAACUGCCUUUGAAACUGGCAAACUGGAGUGUGUGAGAGGAUAGUGGAAUUCCAGGUGUAGGAGUGAAAUCCGUAGAUAUCUGGAGGAACAUCAGUGGCGAAGGCGACUAUCUGGCACAUAACUGACGCUGAGGAGCGAAAGCGUGGGUAGCAAACAGGAUUAGAUACCCGGGUAGUC
rnacentral:rRNA from 1 species